CCUACGGGAGGCAGCAGUGGGGAAUAUUGCACAAUGGGGGAAACCCUGAUGCAGCGACGCCGCGUGAGUGAAGAAGUAUUUCGGUAUGUAAAGCUCUAUCAGCAGGGAAGCAAAUGACGGUACCUGAUUAAGAAGCCCCGGCUAACUACGUGCCAGCAGCCGCGGUAAUACGUAGGGGGCAAGCGUUAUCCGGAUGUACUGGGUGGAAAGGGAGCGUAGACGGCAGCACAAGUCUGGAGUGAAAUGCCGGGGCUGAACCCCGGAACUGCUUUGGAAACUGUGCAGCUAGAGUGCAGUAGAGGUAAGUGGAAUUCCUAGUGUAGCGGUGAAAUGCGUAGAUAUUAGGAGGAACACCAGUGGCGAAGGCGGCUUACUGGACUGUAACUGACGUUGAGGCUCGAAAGCGUGGGGAGCAAACAGGAUUAGAUACCCGAGUAGUC
rnacentral:rRNA from 1 species